UUAAGUGACUAAGCGUACACGGUGGAUGCCUGGGCAGUCAGAGGCGAUGAAGGACGUACUAACUUGCGAUAAGCGCAGAUAAGGCAGUAAGAGCCGUUUGAGUCUGCGAUUUCCGAAUGGGGAAACCCAACUGCAUAAGCAGUUACUGUUAACUGAAUACAUAGGUUAACAGAGCAAACCGGGGGAACUGAAACAUCUAAGUACCCCGAGGAGAAGAAAUCAACCGAGAUUCCGGUAGUAGCGGCGAGCGAACCUGGAUUAGCCCUUAAGCACUCGGUGAAGUAGGUGAACAAGCUGGAAAGCUUGGCGAUACAGGGUGAUAGCCCCGUAACCGACGCUUCAUCGAGCGUGAAAUCGAGUAGGGCGGGACACGUGAUAUCCUGUCUGAAUAUGGGGGGACCAUCCUCCAAGGCUAAAUACUCCUGACUGACCGAUAGUGAACCAGUACCGUGAGGGAAAGGCGAAAAGAACCCCUGUGAGGGGAGUGAAAUAGAACCUGAAACCGUGUACGUACAAGCAGUAGGAGCACCUUCGUGGUGUGACUGCGUACCUUUUGUAUAAUGGGUCAGCGACUUAUAUUCAGUGGCAAGGUUAACCGUAUAGGGGAGCCGUAGCGAAAGCGAGUCUUAACUGGGCGCUCAGUCUCUGGAUAUAGACCCGAAACCGGGUGAUCUAGCCAUGGGCAGGUUGAAGGUUGAGUAACAUCAACUGGAGGACCGAACCGACUAAUGUUGAAAAAUUAGCGGAUGACUUGUGGCUAGGGGUGAAAGGCCAAUCAAACUCGGAGAUAGCUGGUUCUCCCCGAAAGCUAUUUAGGUAGCGCCUCGGACGAAUACUACUGGGGGUAGAGCACUGUUAAGGCUAGGGGGUCAUCCCGACUUACCAACCCUUUGCAAACUCCGAAUACCAGUAAGUACUAUCCGGGAGACACACGGCGGGUGCUAACGUCCGUCGUGGAGAGGGAAACAACCCAGACCGCCAGCUAAGGUCCCAAAGUAUUGCUAAGUGGGAAACGAUGUGGGAAGGCUCAGACAGCUAGGAUGUUGGCUUAGAAGCAGCCAUCAUUUAAAGAAAGCGUAAUAGCUCACUAGUCGAGUCGGCCUGCGCGGAAGAUGUAACGGGGCUAAGCAAUACACCGAAGCUGCGGCAAUGUCUUUUAGACAUUGGGUAGGGGAGCGUUCUGUAAGCCGUUGAAGGUGAAUCGUAAGGUUUGCUGGAGG
rnacentral:rRNA from 1 species